rnacentral:rRNA from 1 species
GAUGAACGCUGGCGGCGUGCCUAAUACAUGCAAGUCGAACGGGGAGUAGCAAUACUCUUAGUGGCGAACGGGUGAGUAACGCGUUGGUACCUGCCCCGAAGCGGGGGAUAACGGACCGAAAGGUCCGCUAAUACCCCAUGUGCUCGGUAACGAGUAAAGGUGAAAACCACUUUGGGAGGGGCAUGCGUCCCAUCAGCUAGUUGGUAAGGUAACGGCUUACCAAGGCGAUGACGGGUAGGGGACCUGAGAGGGUGGCCCCCCACAAUGGAACUGAAACACGGUCCAUACACCUACGGGUGGCAGCAGUAGGGAAUAUUGGUAAUGGGCGCAAGCCUGAACCAGCAACGCCGCGUGGGCGAUGACGGCCUUCGGGUUGUAAAGCACUUUUGACGGGGACGAGGAAGGACGGUACCGGUAGAAUCAGCCUCGGCUAACUACGUG